rnacentral:lncRNA from 1 species
CUUAAUAGAUAUUUGUUGAAUAAAACAACAAGUGCUCAAUUUUUAAUGUCAUUAGAGUGAGUUUAAUUUUUUUUUUUCUCACCUUCCCUAGUGUGCUAUGAAUUAGUACACUGGAACAAACAUGUAGCCCUGAUGUUAUGCAGUUCCUUGACAAUUUAAGUGUGUCAGUAAGUACUCAGAACCAAGAUUUUCUAGGAAGAGCAAAUGAAAAGGCUAAAAAUCAAUACAGGCAGCAACCACUUCUUAUAAUCCCAAUUUUCAUAGAAAUUUAAC